rnacentral:rRNA from 1 species
CCUGGAUGACCCUGCCAGUAGCAUAUGCAUGUCUCAAAGAUUAAGCCUUGCACGUUUAAGUACACACGACCGGUACAGUUAAACUGCAAAUGGCUCAUUAAAUCAGUUAUGGUUCCUUUGAUCGAUCCAUGGAUAACUGUGGUAAUUCUAGAGCUAAUACAUGCCGACAAGCCCGGACCUCCCGGGAUGCGUGCAUUUAUCAGACCAAGACCCAUCUGGGCUCGCCCGGCCGUUUUGGUGACUCUAGAUAACCGCGGGCCGAUCGCACAUCUCUGUGAUGGCGACUAUGCAUUCGGAUGUCGGCCCUAUCAAAUUUCGAUGGUACGUUCUGUGCCUACCAUGGUGACCACGGGUAAUGGGGAAUCGGGGUUCGAUUACGGAGAGGGAGCCUGAGAAAUGGCUACCACAUCAAGGAAGGCAGCAGGCGCCCAAAUUACCCACUCCCGACUCUGGGAGGUAGUGACAAAAAAUGUAAAUCCUUUAACUAGUUCCCAUUGGAAGGCAAGUCUGGUGCCAGCAGCCAUGGUAAUUCCAGCUCCAAUGGCAUAUAUUAUAUUUGCUGCAGUCAAAAGGCUUGUAGUUUGAUCUUGGGAUCGAGCUGGUGGCCCGCCGCGAGGCUAGCUAUCGCCUGUCCCAGCCCCUGGUUCUUGGCACCCCCUUCAUGCUCUUGACUGAGUGUCCUGGGGGUCUGAAGCAUUUACUUUGAAAAAAGUAGUGUUCAAAGCAGGCCGGUAGCCUGAAUACUUCAGCUAGGAAUAAUGGAAUAGGACUCUGGUUCUAUUUUGUUUUUUCGGAAACUGGGGCCAUGAUUAAGAGGGACGGCCGGGGGGCAUUCGCAUUGUGCCGCUAGAGGUGAAAUUCUUGGACCGGCGCAAGACGAACCAAAGUGAAAGCAUUAGCCAAUAAUGUUUUCAUUAAUCAAGAACGAACAUCUGAGGUUCGAAGAUGAUCUGACACCGUCAUAGUUCCGUCCAUAAAUGAUGCUGAUUAGUGAUCUGGCAGCGUUAGUCCCAUGACCCGCUCGAGCCGCUUCUGGGAAACCAAAGUCUUUGGGUUCCGGGGGAGGGGGAGUAUGGUUGCAAAGCUAAAACUUAAAGGAAUUGACGGAAGGGCACCACCAGGAGUGGAGCCUGUGGCUUAAUUUGACUCCACACGGGAAACCUCACCUGGCCCGGAAACGGAAAAAAGAUUGACAGAUUGAUAGCUCUUUCUCAAUGUUGUGGGUGGUGGUGCAUGGCCGUUCUUAGUUGGUGGAGCGAUUUGUCUGGUUAAUUCCGAUAACGAACGAAGCUCCUCCAUGCUAAGUAUUUCCCAUGAACGAGGAAUUCCCAUUAAGUGCGGGUCAUAAGCUUGCGUUGAUUAAGUCCCUACACUUUGUGCACACCGGCCGUCGCUACUACUGAUUGGAUGGUUUAGUGAGGUCCUCGGAUCGGCCCUGCUGGCAGCGCCCCUGGCGGAGCAGCGAAAAGACGAUCAAACUUGACUAGAGGAAGUAAAAGUCAUACGGGUUGGGUUAACCUGCUGGGGAUGUCCCC